UGGGGAAUUUUGCACAAUGGGGGAAACCCUGAUGCAGCGACGCCGCGUGAUUUAGAAGGCCUUCGGGUUGUAAAAAUCUUUUUUACGGGAUGAAAAUGACAGUACCGUAAGAAUAAGGUCCGGCUAAAUACGUGCCAGCAGCCGCGGUAAUACGUAUGGACCGAGCGUUGUCCGGAAUCAUUGGGCGUAAAGGGUACGUAGGCGGCCUAGUAAGUUAGAAGUGAAAUAAUAUAGCUCAACUAUAUAAAGCUUUUAAAACUGCUAGGCUUGAGAGAUGGAAGGGAAAGUGGAAUUCCUAGUGUAGCGGUGAAAUGUGCAGAUAUUAGGAAGAAUACCGGUGGCGAAGGCGACUUUCUGGUCAUCAUCUGACGCUGAGGUACGAAAGCGUGGGUAGCAAACAGG
rnacentral:rRNA from 1 species